GCGGCCAGCAGGGCGGAGUUAACCAACUUUCACACUGACUGCUGGAGUCAACGACGGACAGAUAUGCGUUCAGCCGCACCAGCUGACCCUUUGUGAGGGUUAAAGUCAUUGUCUUUGAAUCUCCAGAAAGCGUUUAUAGCUCCUGGCGCAGCAACAAGAUGAUGCGCUUCCUGCUGCUCUUCAGUCGCCAGGGGAAGCUGCGUCUGCAGAAAUGGUUCACGCCCAUGUCAGAACGUGAGAAGAAGAAGAUCACCAGGGACAUGACCACGAUGGUGUUGGGACGGCAACCACGCUCCUGUAACUUCCUGCACUGGAAAGACCUGAAGAUUAUUUACAAGAGGUAUGCAAGCUUGUAUUUCUGCUUGGCCAUUGAGAACCAGGAGAAUGAGCUGAUAGCCUUGGAGGUUAUUCAUCGUUAUGUGGAGCUGCUGGACAAAUAUUUUGGCAAUGUGUGUGAGCUGGACAUAAUCUUUAACUUUGAGAAGGCCUAUUUUAUCCUGGAUGAGUUUCUAAUGGGCGGCGAAAUACAAGAAACCUCCAAACAAAUGGUGAACCGCUCCAUCGAAGCCUCGGACAUGUUGCAGGAGGAUGACAGCAGUGAGUGGUAUGAGGUGGAGCUGUUUGGAUGACCUUGAAUAUGGACAGAAAGGUUAGAUGUUCCGCUUGUGUUAGUUGGUGUGCUCAGAACUUAAUACCAGGACCAUGGAGGAGUAUAUGAGCAAACCUGCAUUUUAACCCUGCAGGGGGAAACGGCACAUAAAGGAACAGCGGGGAGGAAUACAGGAACCAAAUGUACUGUGUAUGAGUCAAAGAAGUUUCUGAAUAUGGAUAUGGACUUUCCUUUGAUUCUAUUGAACAUUUUCCCAAGAAGAAAGGGACAUAUUGAAUAUCUCGCCUUCUGCCUGAAGCUUUGCCCCAAUGUAACUGCAUUUUAGAGUGAGUCUAAUAUUUGCUCAGAGUCAUGCGCUCAACUGAAGGAAGGGGGAGGGUUGUUUUUUCACAUUGAUUAUUGUCAUGUAAAUGAAGUAGUAAUAGAGGAUCAGGGAUGUAAAAACUGAUUUUAGGUUUGUGAAUGUGUUGAGUUUAUAUUUAAAUCAUGUAUUAAUAUAUUUGAUGUGACACUACCAGUUGAUUUUGGAGGAAAAUGUGCUGAUCUUCAACUAUAUUUGGAAAAAAACAGUCUCAAAAACAACAGAUUUCAACAGACUGGACUGAUUGUGAUGAAUUUCUUACUGUUUUUAAUCUGUAUAUUUCACAUGUGUGGGUCCGUUAGUCUUUAGAAGGAGCAGUUGGUAGUGUGGGUGUCAAUAUCACUGUUUUUUUUAUCGUGCAAUUUGUGAUGUCGGAGCUUUCUGUAUGAUUAAAAUAUGUAUUUUGAUAAAAACA